AGGGCAGGGGGGACAGUGUUUGGGGUUACUGGGGGGGUCUCCAGGCAGGCAGGGCUAGGGGGACAGAGUCUGAGGUUGCUGGGGGGUCCCCAGGCCAGCAAGGCUGGGGGCAGGGUUGAGGGGGCUGUGGGGCAGAUGGUCCCCAGGCUGGCAGGGCUGGGGGCAGAGUUGAGGGGUGCUGUGGGGCAGACUGUACCCAGGCCGGCAGGGCUGGAUUGAGGGGUGCUGUGGGGCAGAGGGUCCCCAGGGCAGCAGGGCUGGGGGCUGGGUUGAGGGGUGCUGUGGGGCAGAGGGUCCCCAGGGCAGCAGGGCUGGGGGCAG